rnacentral:lncRNA from 1 species
GGGCAAACGUAGGCGUGCCACGUAGCGAUCGACAGCUAUGGCGGGGGGCGGGGGCGGGGUGGCGUGGUGGUGCCCAGGAUCCACGACACGUGACGGCUGCGGAGCACGACAGCCCUAAGACCUUGAGGGAGACGGGGUGGCGCGUGAAUCCUUUCGGAACGAGAACGACAGGAAACGCUGACGGGGACGUGUUCUCGUCUCGAGAACACACCAACGCCUCGCACGGUGUCUGACCCGGGGUGCCUCUGACUUUUGUCAUCAGAGAAGAUCCUGUCGACCGCCCCUCACGCUUUGGGGAAAAGGGGAGAGGGACUCGGUAGCACGGGAGAAGCCAUCCAUCCGCCCUUCCUUUCCGUCUUCACGGCUCCUUCUCGUGGAAAACGAGGAAGCCGUCCGGAGGAACGGAACACUGACCCGGGCCAAAGCGUGGCCCAGCCUGAGCCUCCAAAACCUUCUGCUAAGUGAGAGGUGCCAGACAUCCAAGGCGACCUACGUUGCGAUUCCACACAGAGGAGAGAGCUAGAACGGUCCAACCCUAGAGGGCGACAGCAGAUGGCGGCGGUGGUGGUGGUCGUGGGAUUCCUCAGAGGGCGUCUCUUGGCUCCCCAAACGAAGAAUGUGUGUGGAGAUCGAGAAAGAUCACCGACCUAGGAGAACCAGCAAGACUUCCUCACCCUCCAGAGAGCCGCUGGGCCCCUGCCGUCCCUGCCACCGCCACCCCUACCCCUCGCCUUUGGCAGCGACGCCAACGAAAGGCAGGCAGACGAGUGGGAGAGUCGUGUGGUGGUGUCCCCCAAGGAAGAAAACAAGGGCCGGGGGCCGAGCCCGUGGACGAGCGGUCAAGUACGCGCCCCCACCCCGACCCCCGGCUUCGACGGCCCAGGUUUUCACCGGUUCGGAUCCUGGGCGCAGCCCCAGACCCAGCAUCGCCCUUCAAGCCCACAUAGCAGAAACCCGAAAGACCUACCACUGGAACCUACAACUAUGGAUGGACGGGACGGGACGGGACGGGGCGGGGCGGGGCGGGGCGGGGGUGGGGGGGGCGGCUUUGGGGAGAAGGAAGAAAGAAAAAAUAAAAGAAACACAAGGACGGUCAUCGCGAUAGUUCUUUCCACUUCCAUCCAUAUGUUAACAGGACCCAAGUUUCCCGACCUCCAUUUGGAUGUAUGUUAACUAAAUGGAGAAGCUAUUCAAAGGACUCCUCUAAAGAAGUCCACGUUCUUCUUUCUAAAUGAUAAUGAAAAUCAUUGUCACCACCGCUCUUCCGACCCUCCAUGUCCAGACGGCCUCCCGCCCCUCCCCCAUCCCCAACUCCCGCCCCGCCCCGCCCCGCGCCGACCCCCGCCCCCCCCCCCCCGGCAUUCGCCCCGCCCACCUUUCCCUCUCCACUCCUACCCCCCCCCCCCGCCGCCCGGGACACCACCCCCCGCACCCCC